rnacentral:lncRNA from 1 species
UAAAUAAUAUGCGGAAUAAAUUAAAUGAGUUCAAUGCGAUUAAAGACUCGAAUAAAUAGAGUUUUCCAAAUUAAUUGAGAACAGUGAUGGGCAGAGUGUUACAUUACAAAUAAAAUAAAGCAAAUGGAGUUAAAAUUAUUCAAGAAAAACUCAAACAAAACCUUUUGGAACCUUUUUCGGUGGUUUGAACUGCCUAGAUAGGUUCCUAUAUGGGUUUUAAACCCAGUUCACCAACCCUUAUUUGUAAGCUUGUAAAUUCUUAUUCGGUUAACGCAAUUCGAUAAAAGCUGA